rnacentral:piRNA from 1 species
UGUGACUGCACAUAUAAAUGUUAACUAUGCU